ensembl:lncRNA
AAUGUAGUAAUGAGCACAUUUUCAUGGUUCAAAGAGCCCACUCCAUUUUACUGCCAGGAAAAAUGAAAAUGAUAAAGUGGAGAUUUUGACCAGUUUUUUGAUCAAGUAUUUCCUCUCAAUUUCAUAUUUCCUUAUUAUAGUUUAGUAGUUAAAUGUGGGACCAGUGCAGAGAGACAUCUUGGACUCAUAUCUUGAAGUUUUAUUUGGACAGUCAGGAGAGAGGGGGACUUAUAACCAAAAAACUAAAAAGAAGAAGAAAGUCAAAGGCAUGAUGUGCUGCAGGGAGCAGUCUUUCUCUGGCAGAAGAUGAGCUAAAUAGCCUAAUAGUUUUUUUUUUCCAUCUGUAUUUCCUAUCGUCCUACUGCGAGCAGAAAGAAUUCGGAUCCAGCUGAUCUCUCGGGUGGGGGGUGGAGGAGGCUGCCUGCUCCACUGCCUAGCAUAGGCAGCAGAGAAAGCUGAGGAGAACAACACCCCUGCUGCAUUACCCCUGCUCUGCAGGAUCCCACCAAGCAUUUUCGCUGGCUCUUUGCAGUGCUGGAUCACCACCAGGCUGCAAGAAAGAAGGAUCAGCCACUGUCUAGAGCACUGCCCCGUGCUAACCCGCUGGAUUUCCAUGCUGAAAUCCAAGGGAGAGUUUAAGCAGCCUAAGUGUUGGCUGGGCUCUCUCUAGCUGCUACUGCGCAGCUGUGCGCUGGCUCGGCUUGUGCCAGGUGAGCUGCGGGUGGGUCCCGCUGCUUGGGGCAGCCUCAUGGGUAGAGCUCUGCAAGACCAGGGCUGGUGGGUGCUCCACUUGCAGGGGAUGCGCUUCUCCAGCUCUGCUGGCUGCUUGGUGCCCCGUGAGGAGAACUUGGAAAUGCUGUGCCCUUCAGCUCACAAAGUUUCCUGGCUCUUGCAGUCUGAUUUUCCAGGAAAGGGUACAAUCUAAACCCUCCAAUGAUUUGGUUAGCUGUUUUUCUUAAAAUUAAGGGAUUCAAAAUAAUGCCAAAUUGCUACCCAUGCCCUGGAGGACUAGGAGGCAAGCCAAAAAUGUGUUGUCACAAUGCACAUUACCUGAAAUUUUCACUAAAUUAAAAAGGGCUGUGAAGAAGUGACUCCCAAACUAUUUUAAAAAGACAUUUGUUACACAAUGUGCAUGUUUCUGCCACUUCAUACAGCAUACGUUAGGUUUUCCUGCCUCCUGUGAGCACUGACAGGACACAGCACGAAGACAAAGCUAGUUGCUGAAGAACUACUUCUGAAACACCCAUGAGACGUGAAGAACAACCGGUGAUCUCCUACAGGGAACAAUCUGCCACCAGAAGAGCUGUGCAUUUAAGUGAUUGUUUUGGCUCUGUUGCCAACUCAUGCCCUCAUUCUAAGGCGCACACAAAAACCAUAAAAUAAAAAAAUUAAAACAAAAAGUGUUUCUUGGGAAAGGAAAUCCUAAGAACAUUGAAUGUGUUCAAAAGACAUUCAUUUGGGUACUUGCAGAUGAAGGAAAUAAAUGCCAGAUUCACAGAAGCUGAGGUGGAACACGCAUCGGGACUGGAGAACUAGUUCAGUUUCCAUCUCUUGGAAGAAAUGUGUGCACGUGCCACACAGGACAACAUUUUUAGUAAUCCCCUGUAAGGUGGCUGUGUCUGCUCAUGGUUUGGAGCGUUGCUCCUUGGUCUCUUCCAGUGAGACAUCCACUUUGUGUGCUGCAUUUUAUGUUCACACAGUCUAGGAACCAAACAACCACUUUCCUGCUGUGUGGGUCGUUUUCACAUUCAGCUCUGGCAAACAUUAAAAGCAGUUUGUUCCAAGAAGAUUAACUUCAAAUGGACUGCCUAAGGUAACCCAGAAGAGUUUAAAGUGACCUAGCAGCCACUUGUAGGAUAGUCAUCUGCAAGAUGGAAGAGCUAGGUUAAAACCUGCCUUUAAAAGAAGCACCACAGCUUUGAAUGGGCAUUCAGUACUUCCCAGUAAAGCCCCUAAGUGCCUCUGUGUCUCAGGUGGGUACUUCCAAACCCUCCUCCUGCAGCUGUUCCUAAUCAGUGCUAAAAGCAAGAGUAGAAAGGAUCCCCAAGGGACCAGAGUGCUCACCUGGGAAGUGAGGGGGCACAGAUCUAAGCCCAGGGCUUAAUUAUGAUACAGUUUUAGCUUAAGGUUUCAGUCACUGGAGUGACUGUGGUGUAUAAAUCGAAUGUGAAGAAUCUGGAUAAAAUAUAGUGGUAGUUAGGACUGUUGCUAUAUCUUUCUAAUUCCUACUGUUUCUUACUGUAGGAUUCUAUUUGAACUGAGCAAAGCUGGCUAGUGUUUGAGUACUCUUCAGAUAAGCUCUGGGAAAUCAGGCAAGAAUAGUGUUUCAGAUUAUUGAGAAAGAUGAAGAAAUUGCUUGAUGUCACUGCGCUGAUGAUGGGAAGACCCUUAUUUCUCCUUUCUUCUCUUCCUCGUAUGUGGAACUAGAGAGGUAAGCCUGCAAUAGAAAUUUUCUAUACCAAGUUAUGUAUUCAUCAAUACUCACUUCUCUCUGGAUUAGAGAAAUAGUAAAUACUUAGAUCUGAAUACUCCAUUUUGUUUCAUUUCCAAGUUGUGGAGUAUUUUUUUGUUUUGUUUUUAGAUUCUUUUCAUUUUGGUGCUCUUUAUCUUAACA